rnacentral:rRNA from 1 species
GCUAAGGCCCCUAAAUGAUCGCUGAGUGAUGAAGGAGGUAGGAGUGCAAAGACAGUCAGGAGGUUCGCCUAGAAGCAGCGAUCCUUGAAAGAGUGCGUAAUAGCUUACUGCUCGAGCGCUCUUGCACCGAAGAUGAUCGGGACUAAGCGAUCUGCCGAAGCUGUGGGAUGUAAUAAAAAAUACAUCGGUAGGGGAGCGUUCCGCCUCAGAGAGAAGUAUCUGCGCGAGCAGAGUUGGACGAAGCGGAAGCGAGAAUGUCGGCUUGAGUAACGCAAACAUUGGUGAGAAUCCAAUGCCCCGAAAACCUAAGGAUUCCUCCGCAAGGUUCGUCCACGGAGGGUGAGUCAGGGCCUAAGAUCAGGCCGAAAGGCGUAGUUGAUGGACAACAGGUUAAUAUUCCUGUACUACCCUUUGUUGGUCCCGAGGGACGGAGUAGGCUAAGUUAGCCGUCUUAAUUAUGGUUUUACGGUUUAAGGUCAGAAGGUGACCCUGAAAAAGCGGGGUCAGAACGGGGUAGAGAAAAUACCUCGAGCCAAUGUCCGAAUUCCAGCGUGGCGUCAAAAAAGUAAAAAGAUAGACAACACGCUGGGCAACCCACGUCAUACUCCCAGGAAAAGCUCGAACGACCUUCAACAAACGGGUACCUGUACCUGAAACCGACACAGGUAGGUAGGUAGAG